rnacentral:tRNA from 1 species
GCUCGGAGGCUGCGCGCAAAGGCGUGGCGUCCGGGCUUUCAAGGUUCGGCGCGGUGGCGACUACCUGUUCAUCCAGGUCUCCCAGCG